rnacentral:lncRNA from 1 species
AGCAAGCAACAAUCAUCAAUAUCAACCAAUUAUAAUUAUGAAAUAGUUGAUACUGAACGUAAAUCAAAUAAAAAUGAAUCAAUCAUAUCAACGAAAUACUUAUCAUUUUACGUUAAACAAUCAACAAUUAUAAUUCUUCAUAUUAAUAUCUAAAAAAUAUUUGCCACUGGACGUUCGGCAAUCAAGAAUGAGAACGAAGCACUUGCCACUGGACGUUAAACAAGCCCGACAAUAAAAUAAUUCUCAACUGUUUGUACCGAGUUGACAAAAAUGUGAGUGACUAGAAAAGA